GAGUUUGAUCAUGGCUCAGAACGAACGCUGGCGGCGUGCUUUAACACAUGCAAGUCGAACGCGAACGGGACUUCGGUUCCUAGUAGAGUGGCGCACGGGUGAGUAACGCGUAGAUAACCUAUCUUUAUGUCUGGGAUAACACGCCGAAAGGGGUACUAAUACCGGAUAUUCUUGCAUUUCAUAAGUAUUGCAAGGAAAGGUGGCCUCUGAUUCAAGCUACUGCAUAGAGAGGGGUCUGCGUACCAUUAGCUAGUAGGUGGGGUAAUGGCCUACCUAGGCAACGAUGGUUAGCGGGUCUGAGAGGAUGAUCCGCCACACUGGCACUGAAACACGGGUCAGACUCCUACGGGAGGCAGCAGUGAGGAAUAUUGCGCAAUGGGGGCAACCCUGACGCAGCGACGCCGCGUGAGUGAGGAAGGCCUUCGGGUCUUUUAGCUCUGUCAAGAGGGAAGAAGUGCAUGGUAGCUAAUACCUGCCAUAUUUGACGGUACCUCUAAAGGAAGCACCGGCUAACUCCGUGCCAGCAGCCGCGGUAAUACGGA
rnacentral:rRNA from 1 species